UGGUUUGAUGUGCAACCCUAAUCUUGCCAACUUCCCUUCUCUUCACAAUCUCUUUUAAGGUGGGACCACAUGAUGAACGGCCCAUAUUGAAGGUGGGGCUCCAUGUCAUGAAUGGUCCACAUCAAGGUGGGCCCCACAUGAUGGAUGAUCCAAAUCAAGCAGGCCCCACCCAAUGGAUGGUCCACAUCGAAGGCAGGACCAGAUGAUGGAAUGUUGACGUCAAAGGUGGGCCCACAUGAUGAAUGGCCCAUAUUGAAGGUUGGGCCCCACAUGAUGCACGGUCCACAACAAAGGUGGGACCCACAUGAUGGAUGGUGAACAUCAAAGGUGGAUCCCACAUGAUGGAUGGCCCAAAUCAAAAUGUGGGCCCGCAUGAUGAAUGGUCCACAUGAAGGUGGGCCCACAUAAUGCACUGCUCACAUCAAAGGUGGGGCCCACAUGAUAGAUGACGCACAUCAAAGUGUGGUCCAACAUGAUGGACCAUCCGUGUUAAAUGGGCCCCACUUGGUGGACAGUCCGCAUCAAAGGUGGGCCCACGUGAUAGAUGGUUGACAUCAAAGGUGAACCCACAUGAUGAACGACCUGUAUUGAAGGUGGGGCCCCACAUAAUGAAUGGUUC